UAUUAUACUAUAUUAUUAUAUUCUAUAAUAUUCGAUAUUAUUACUUCUACAUUAUUAAGUUCACCAAUGCCGAGAUUUUGAAAAUCAAAAUCUUUAAAAUCGGUCUAUUUAUAAAUAUAAAUUUAUCAUUUGAAUCAUCAUUAUAAGUCAUACUAAUUAAAAUAAAACAUUUGUGCAUUUCAUUGUUGAAUAAUACAUAUAUGGCAAGGAAAACAUUUAUUUAAUCCGCCAUUAAAUUAUAUUACUUAAAAUAAAAUCUUUUUCUACUUGAUGUUAAGUUGUAUUAUCAGAAAAUAAAAAAAUCUUCAUUUUAUAUUAAUAUUCAUUUAAAUAAAUAUGCGUUUCAUCUAUUUGAAAUAGAACAAUGUGUUAUUUAUUGUUGAGUUAUACUACUACCUAACUUUUCCGCGAAAAAGUAGAGACUCGUAGCGGAGAUUUCUGGAACUAAUGCAUAGAUUUUUCGGUCAGUAUCCAGUGAGUUGGCACUCUAGUAAUACAGAAGUAUGUGUCUGACUUAGAACAUAUACUAGUAGUAUAUGUUCUAAGGGUGUCGUCACAUGGCACGUAUUUUCUGCGUAACGCGUAACCGCGUAACCAAUCAAAUCUUUGCCUGCAGAAGCUGAUAUCCAAAUGAAACAAUGUGAUUGGUUACGCGUUACGCAGAAAAUACGUGCCAUGUGAAUUCAGCCUAAGGUUAAUACUGAGUAAUACGUGGAGAAGCAGACACUCCGAGCCCUUUUGACACUUCUCUCUCAAGUCUCAGCACGAAGUCAUUGGGCAGAGUCGCUGUUUGUUCACGUCCUAGCAUGUUAGGAAAUUCAUUGAUUGUUGCAAUGACCUCUUGAGUAACGUUAGGGGAAGUUCCAUUUAAGUGGCCGUGUCAAGAACCAUCCUGUCAUUCUGUCUCUGUUGUACGCUGAAAUGUUGAACGGAGACGGAAUAAUGCUCAUGUCAACACGGUCAUCGAAUGGAAUUUACUCAUAGAGGAUUGUCAAGCCUGGAAAGUAUAUAUAGGUGGAAGCGGUGGAAGUCGGUGUGAGUCGUCGUAAAUAUGUGGUGUCAAACUAACCAUGCUGAGACGUGUUAGCAGCCGUAAAAAUUAGGAUUGCCGACGUAGUCGAAAGAUGGUUUCGAUCAUCAAGAAUCAGUUGCUGAAACACCUGUCCAGGUAAUGCCCGCGUAUUAUCGUCACCAAUUAUCGGCGAUUAACCUAAAAUACAGUUUUAUGGUCAAAAGACAUCUCAAGUGACACCUCACAAGUUGCACCCGUCCCAUAAAGUCACACGUCACAUUAUCCACUCCUUUCCUCCUCUCUUUGCCUCGGAGACAUUUGUCUUAGCGCCAACGUAACGUUGCUUUUUUUUCCUACACGAUUUCUACGUAAAUAUAAUAUUAGAUACAUUCAUCUAUGAAACAGCUGGAUGUAAGAGGAGAGAAAGUACUCUCUCUUUUCUUAUAAUUAAAGCAAUCAUCAUAUGGACACUGACAAAGAUUAUUCCUUGCCUCUCUGCAUUAGUGAAAGUUCCUCUCAUGUAUUAUCUGAAUCAGCAGUAAUAAGAUUCUCCAUGUAGAAUUUUGUAUUUAUGAUACUUAAUUUAUCUGCAUUAACAAGUAAUACGACCAUUGCUUUGUUUAAUUAAUUUGUUUGUUUUGCUUUGUUGCCUCGAUAGCUAAAUGCUGUAUUUAAUGCAUGUGUUGACAUAUCCGUCUUACACAUAUUGUAGGUUCACCAAGAACCUGUCUGCUGAUAAGAUAAAUUUGAGCACGUUCAAAGGUGAGGGAGAACUGACAAAUUUAGAACUCGAUGAAAUAGUCCUGACAGAUUUGCUAGAGCUGCCAUCAUGGUUGAGACUAACUAAUGCUUGGUGCAAUAAAGUUUCAUUUCGUAUACAAUGGACCAAACUAAAAAGUGUUCCCAUCUUUUUGAGUUUGGAUGAGGUUCAUAUAGAUGUAGAGACAUGCGAGGACUUGAGAAGUACGUCUUCCCCACAAGGUAUAUCGUCGUAUACUGGUCCCGCAAAAUAUUCUUUUAUACAUAAAGUAAUUGAUGGAAUAACAGUAGCUGUUAAUACCGUAUUGGUUACGUUUAAAAGCCCUGCAUUCAUUGCUUCAGUUCAGAUGAAUCGAAUUAUGGUAGAAUCCAAGUCAGCGACGUGGCAGCGUUGUGAUCUUAGAACCACUAGAGUAAAGGAUCCUGAUCGAGGGCAGCUGCUUAUUUUCAAAGAGCUAGAAUGGCAGACUGUUAGAAUAGAAGCUCAAAGUACUAAAGAUAAGAAUUUGACGCCUCUUCGUUUACUGACAAACCAAGCAAGAUGCCGGAUUACCAUAAAGAAAAGAAUAUCAGAUUGCUUCGUGAUGGGAUCUAGGCUGGUAAUUAUUCUGGACGAUCUUUUGUGGGUGUUAACGGACUCGCAAUUGAAAGCUGCACUUCAUUUUCUCGAUUCAUUGGGUGGUCUCAUCGAGAAAGCUACUGUUCUUGAACGAAAAACGAAAGCUGCAAGAAAAUUGGAGGUUUUACCGGAAUAUCAAGCACAGAUAUCUCAACAAAGCAGAACGAAGAGUCAGGUCAACACUGCGAUAUCAAAGAUAUUUACGAGAUAUGACGUUGUGGAGACAUCGUAUCAUUUUCUUUCGCAACGCAUUGAUCUUCAUUUAUGUGAUGAUGCUGGCGGAGGUAGAUCACUGCACCCCGAACUGAAGGAUGGUGGUGCGCUGCAAAUUUCAUUAGUAAAAUUUCAAAUUGAUUACUAUCCGUAUCACUUGGCAAUGGCGGACAGAAAGCACUGGGCAAAGUACAAAGAAAAUGCCACACCUCACAGCCAGUGGUUGCAGCAGUCGUUGAGCACGUUCCGAAGCCAGUUUAUGGAUCUCAUAGAUUCUGGCAGAACGCAACAACACUCUCCUCUAACGAGAAGUCAAGGAACUGUAACGGGCAGUGGUACGAAAGGCUCGAGAGAAAAUUUAGAAAAGAGCAAUCAAUCACAGAAUCCGAACGUGACUCCAUCUGAGCAGAAAAAGUCUCAACAUCCUAGUGGCAAUCCAGUGAAAAAUUACGUUUUGGAGCAGCUCGCCAAGCUCAUGACAACGUGCAUUAUUAUCAGAAUUGAUGAUUUUACCCUGUACAAAGUGACAACAACGUCGCGUAAUCCAUUACCGAAAGAAUUUAUCACAGCUCAAACGAGGAAGAAACAUAUGCCAGGUGAUCGUGAUAGAUUCAGUCUUCCAGAAGAUGUGACGAUACUUCAUGCAGAGUUUACGUAUUAUUAUUAUCCCGGGGACAUAACAUUUCCAUUGCCACCGCCGAAAUUUUAUGUGCAGCUUAAUCCGAUUCAACUCAACUUUGACGUUUGUUCGUGCCUCUGGUUCAACUCUUUCGCCUUGAAUCUUUAUCAUUCUCUCAUAGGGAAGAACAAGCAGCUGAGUUCCUCGCGCUUAAUGUACUUCGACGUAAAGAUAGAGGCUAUACUUCCAAGAAUAGUGUUCGAAAGCCAGCAAGAUUACCCGAAUCAGAAAGACAGGCCAAAGUCUUUGCACCUUCAGACGUCCAGGGCAUCGAUAACGAACGUUCGAUCGAUGGAGAGAUCUUCGAGGGCGGACCUGGCACAGUGCCUGAAUGCAUUCCAGAUGGGACAGAUGUUCUUCGGCGCGGAGUUUCCCAGCAAAUCGGGAGAUUUCCACGUUGUAACGGAUAAAUUCCUGGCGCAUUGCGGAGGCACCGAUAACAUCAGGCAGAUACCAUCGAACUUUAGCAGCAACUCUGUAAACGAGCUACUUAAACAGCUGAACAGGGAACUCUUGUGGACGGAGGCGAAGGAUGUGUGGUGCUGCAACUUGGAACCCGUGUGGGGAGACUUCUUCGGGGCACGGGCCGUCGGGCAGAACCGAUCCGUGCCUUUCUUGGACGCGUUUCCUCUAACGUUGUGGUGCCAUUUCGUGACGGAGCCGUCAGCUGCGGGAAAGUCUGCGAGCGCCGAUAUCCAUGGACUGGCGUACAUCGGCAAUUUAGUCAGCGUGCAGAUAAAUCAUUACCAAUAUCUGUUCCUGCUGAGAUUAUCGGAGAUACUAUCCGAGAUGGCCACGUAUCUGGCUGUGGACUCGAAUAAAAUCUUGAAGGUCGAAACCGGCGGCUCGCUAAUCGUGGGCGCGUUGAUACCGCAAGUGGAGGUGACGUUCGUGAUGCCGUCGCACACGCCCGGCAAGGAGAACUCUGGCGGCGAUCUCGAAUCCGUUAUGCCCGACUCGUCCAGCAUAGCGGACGAUUUUAUAGGCUCAUCGACGCCCUGGCACACCAGCACGGUAAGCGCGCGCGUCGAAUUCAGCGCUAAGAGAAUGAACACGAGCAACGACGUGGAGACACCUCAGAGCGAAGCGUCCUCGAUGCUGUCGAUGGAAUACUCGCAUUCCACCCCGGCGACGCAGCCGGUCGUCACGUUCAAGCAGAAUGGCACGAAGAAAGGCGAUCAAGAAGGUUCAGCGAAUGCAAUGUGGUGCAUUCCCGAGAAAUAUGGAUCACACCCUGUCAGCACGAACGACGAGAAGAAACUCGUGACGGAAAGCAAGCACAGCAAGUCUGACUCGGGCUCGAACACACCCUUCAUCCCGAACAACUUCAAUGUCAAUCUGUCGUCUAUGAAAAAGGGAUUCAGCAAUUUAAUGACGUCGAUUGACUCGGCUUUAAAGGCUUCCCCGGAAGACGGUAGCAGCGACACCGUGUCCAUGAGAAGCGACGUUAGCUCAGACAGCGAGAAUUACGUUUUGGUGAACCUGCAGGAUCAAGGAAAAAUCGACGCGGUAUUCGGCAUCGAUAGCACGAUUAGAAUAACGGCUGUGGAGGAGGCUACUGAAGUGGUGGAAGAAACGCCAGACACGCAGAGCGAAAAGUCUAUGGACAGCGUGUGCAAAAGGAAGGAUAUAGUUUCCAUGGCGACGUUCAAGCUGUCCAAAGUUGAAUUUAUACAACAGUCUUCUGGCUACUCUUCUGUCAUUAAGGUCCAAGUUUCUAACAUUGAUAAUGAUGAGUGUUCGUCCAUUCCUUGGGAUGAAUUUCAGGUCAAGAGAAAGACCAAGUUCAGCUCGCGAUCUCGAGGCUGGGUAGAGUUACCGUCCGAUUCUGACUGCAGAUCACGUAUUAAGUUACGUUUAGAUCACGUCUUGAAAAAUCCGGAAGAUUCCCGUAAACUGUGGGACGCCAGUCAAAAAGAUACGGGUGGCAGUAGUAUACGAGCAUCUCAAGACCGUGUUAGAUUGCCUGAGCAAGAUGCGUCCCGUAUACCCGGCAUCAAUGUGCAUGACAAAGAGAGUGUUAUGAAUUUAUUCGAGGACAAAUUAGAGAUUAAAGUCGCUAAUGUAGCAAUGGCGUUGUCGAUGAGCUCUGUGACGGGCUUAGCGGAUUUGGCAGAGGACGAGAUUAUACCUAAGCCAAUUCCCGUGCAGGUGUGUAUUUCUGACAGAAUUUUUCACUAUUUUCUAUAUUUUUCUCCUCUCCUCUUUCUCCUCUCUCAAUCUUUCUCUCUCUCUCUUUGUUCAAUAUACAUUUUCUGUUUUUAUUGCAAGAACACACGUUGUUAUGUCAUUUCAGAUAUAUGUAGAAAAUAUAUCGUUACGUUUAAACGAAGAUCGUCCGCCAAAUAAUAUAACUUCCCCCGGCCCAAUCCCGAUAGAUUUGAAUAUUUCGAAACUUAGGAUAGCGCGGGACUUGAAUGGCGUAUUUCACAUUGAACCUAUUGGCGGCCUUUCGAAU
rnacentral:misc_RNA from 1 species